AUCUUUUUCCGGUUCAUAAGAAUAAUGUCAGGGCAUUCACAUGCUUGUGUGACAUGUGCCUUCCUUAAAUCCUGUUAUGCACUUGGCACAAUAUCCAUCUGAUU